rnacentral:rRNA from 1 species
GAUGAACGCUAGCGGGAGGCUUAACACAUGCAAGUCGAGCGGCAAGGUAGCAAUACCCUAGAGCGGCGCACGGGUGAGUAACGCGUAUGCAACCUACCUUUUACAGGGGGAUAGCCCGGAGAAAUUCGGAUUAAUACCCCAUGGUUCCUAAGUACCGCAUGGUAUUAAGGAUAAAGUUCCGGCGGUAAAAGAUGGGCAUGCGUGACAUUAGGUAGUUGGUAGGGUAACGGCCUACCAAGCCGACGAUGUCUAGGGGUUCUGAGAGGAUGAUCCCCCACACUGGUACUGAGACACGGACCAGACUCCUACGGGAGGCAG